CCUGGAACUCGCUCUGUAGACCAGGCUGGCCUCAAACUCACAGAGAUCUGCCUGCCUCUGCCUCCUGAGUGCUGGGAU
rnacentral:miRNA from 1 species